rnacentral:misc_RNA from 1 species
UCUCCGUUGGUGAGCCAGCGGAGGGAUCAUUACCGAGUUUACAACUCCCAAACCCCUGUGAACAUACCUUAAUGUUGCCUCGGCGGAUCAGCCCGCGCCCCGUAAAACGGGACGGCCCGCCAGAGGACCCAAACUCUAAUGUUUCUUAUUGUAACUUCUGAGUAAAACAAACAAAUAAAUCAAAACUUUCAACAACGGAUCUCUUGGUUCUG